rnacentral:tRNA from 1 species
GCUGCAGUAGCUCAGUUGGGAGAGUGUUAGACUGUAGAUCUAGGGCUCCGUGAGAAACUGAAAUAGCAAACCAGUAUGAAACUGCAGUU